UAAUUUUUUUUCCUCCUCAAAUCCAUUUUUUUCCUCCUCAAAUUCAUUUUUUCCAGAUUUUAUACCGAUCUUCAUCUAGAAAAAAGAACAAAAAUAAAUCUAAGAACUACUAAACAACAUCAUACAUGUCAGAUUUAGCGAUUCAUUCAUUGGCAACGUAUGCCAAAUUUUGCAAAAAGCAUAUAUGAUUGAAUUUCUGGAAAUUUCUGAAAAUCAUCUAAAAAUAAAGGAUAUGAUGCGAAUUAUACAAUUCUUCAUCGUUGGAAAUCAAACCUCUCCUGCUUCGGCCUCUUACAUGUCCCUAUAUUUAUCAACUUAGGGUUUCAGUUUGUAUUUGAUUUAGGUUUUAUUUGGCGAGAGUAUCUGAUGAGAUAAUUACUGUAUACUGAGAUCAACACCACCACUACCAACAACAGUUUCUAAAGCUAGCAUUACAGAACCGCAGAACAUGUUCAAUUGAUGCAAUCAACAACCAGGCAGUCUACGGUAGCUUGACAAACAAUUUUGAAGUGCACGGCGCUUCUCCUACAAGGCCACACAUGGAAAACAAAAAGAGAAUUGCUCCAAUUGAUUUGGCAGUUUACAAAAGGCAAGUGCUCAUUCUAAUACCGUUGUUAAGUAAGGCAUAGAUUUGAACCAGUUAUAUUGGAAGUAAUGUUGUUCUAUAUUGAGGAGAUAUUAAUUUUUCUUUGCACGCGUGAUACAAUGAAUAUAAACCUAUGGGUGAAUGGACAAAUGUUGUUAAUGAUGUGAUGGAAGGUAAUGGAAAAGAUCCAAUAAUACUGAUAGCAACAGGUACAACUAUGCAACAGUUACAACUAUCAAGGAACAUCAAGGUGGGUAGUUGGGUAUUUCAAAUAUUUAACAAAAACAACCUGCAAUGACUGUUAUGGCUUACCUACUGUGUCUACAUCAAGGGUCUUUGCCAGUCUAGAUGCACCAGAGGUCUGUGAUCUGAGAACACAGUAAGUAGACGUAUUAUAUGUGUUGGUAGAAAGGUGUUAUUUGUUUGAGAAAGGGAAACUUUCAUAUAUCCAAGUGGAGUGGUGUCCAUAUUUUGAUCCCUCUCUUGAAUUACUUCUAAUUAAUCCUUUUUGUAGACAUUAUUUGUUCUUAAUGGGUCUGGAUUAACUGUGUUCUUGCUUUAAUGUCUUCACACAAAAUUUACUUCUCUUAUGUUCAUAAGUUUCUGAACAUCGAUCUGUUUCAACUGGGAAUUAAUUUUGAUCAACUUUCCCUGGCAUUUUCUUUGUGACUUUUGUUGAUCCUCAUCUGGCAAUUGUGCAUAAAUAUUUGUACCAUGUGCAUUCUUUUUUUUAUUGUCCAUUUUUGCAGAGAUUUGUUGCACUUUAAAUCCAAAUAAGUGCAGCUGAUUUUGCUGAAGCUGAUCUCCUAUAGACUAAAAUUCUAUCUGCCAUUGCCAAUGCUGAUUAUACGAAUUCCAAUUCUGUUGUUCCACUAAUAUAAUUUACCACUUUAGGGUUCCAAUUCUCGAAUACCUUGGUGAUAGUUUACUUCAUCUGAUCAAACAAUAUAGAGGUCUCAAUAUGAAUAAAACUCCCAUGCAAAACCUAAACCGGUAUCUCUUUUUUGCUAUAUGAGACGUCCAUAUAUGCAAAACCUAAAUCUCAUUGUUUUUGCGCGGCACUCUCCUUCAGCUUGAUUUUUUUUUUGUCGUCUACUUGAUUUUUUUUUGUUGUUUUUUCUUUGCAGGUCAUAACACUGUAGAGCUGCUUCUCUUCUCCAAGAACAUCUUGCUGCCUCGGUAAUCUUAUCUAUCGUUUCUAAUUCAUCAUUUAGAGCAAAAAUUGUUAGGGUUUAUUUUUAUGAUUGUUAGGGUUUUAUGUUGAUUUUCAUUGAUGAGCAUAUAUCCAAGAAUUGUAAACGACAUGUAUACCGCUCGAACCCACCGUUUUUCAUUCCGCGUUCAUCUAUUAGGAAACCCACCGUUUAAGUUGAUAUUCAAAUUUAGUUGACAUUCAAAUUUUAUUAUCAAGAUGUUGCUUACUCAAAUAAUCGGAGGAUAGCCAUUGUAGUGGAUGAUGAGUACAACUACUGAUUCAAUGGAUUGAGUUUCCGCAUGAUAUGAUUGAUAAUGUGUGAUGACAAUGAUGUGGGUGGCAAUGCCUACCACAUGUGACUUUUAUGAAAGAGUUCAACAAGACUGCUACAUCAUUGUCUUAGAUAAUUUUACAAAUGUUUUUACACGUCAAGAACAAAAAAUGAACUAAGAAAUCUUUCCCUGAACCAUGUAUUAAAAUCAAACCCCUUUAAUAGGUCAGGAAGAAAUAGCCCUGUUUGGAUUAUUCACUUUUGAAGAUUAUUUUUUCAGUGUCAAAAACGUGUAUUGUGUUGUCAGUGGGGCAAAUACCCCACUCAGGUGCAGUAUUUAUUUUUAAAUGUAUUCUUUUGGGACGAUUUCUUAAUCUCUGACACUAAAUGGUAAUUGGUGAAUUUAAUUUUGAUUGUUAAUC